AAAUUGCAAAAGUGUUUAAAAGAUUGUAUUGAAUUUGUAAAGACUUAAUGAAAGUUGGUACACAUAUUCAUACUUUGCAACUUGUAACUCGUUUGUCGCUUCCAUACGGACAGUAUUGAGUGUAAGUUUUUAGUAUGAUUGAAUUGUGACCCUUUUUUCCUAAGAAAAACUACUAUUUAUACAGAUAGUCCUAUAACUACCUA
rnacentral:lncRNA from 1 species